AGUGAACGCUGGCGGUAGGCCUAACACAUGCAAGUCGAACGGCAGCACAGUAAGAGCUUGCGCUUACGGGUGGCGAGUGGCGGACGGGUGAGGAAUACAUCGGAAUCUACUUUUUCGUGGGGGAUAACGUAGGGAAACUUACGCUAAUACCGCAUACGACCUACGGGUGAAAGCAGGGGAUCUUCGGACCUUGCGCGAUUGAACGAGCCGAUGUCGGAUUAGCUAGUUGGCGGGGUAAAGGCCCACCAAGGCGACGAUCCGUAGCUGGUCUGAGAGGAUGAUCAGCCACACUGGAACGGAGACACGGUCCAGACUACUACGGGAGGCAGCAGUGGGGAAUAUUGGACAAUGGGCGCAAGCAUGAUCCAGCCAUACCGCGUGGGUGAAGAAGGCCUUCGGGUUGUAAAGACCUUUUGUUGGGAAAGAAAAGCAGCAGGUUAAUACCCCGCUGUUCUGACGGUACCCAAAGAAUAAGCACCGGCUAACUUCGUG
rnacentral:rRNA from 1 species